rnacentral:rRNA from 1 species
CCUACGGGAGGCAGCAGUGAGGAAUAUUGGUCAAUGGACGAGAGUCUGAACCAGCCAAGUAGCGUGAAGGAUGACUGCCCUAUGGGUUGUAAACUUCUUUUAUAUGGGAAUAAAACAGGGUAUGCAUACCCUCUGGUAUGUACCAUAUGAAUAAGGAUCGGCUAACUCCGUGCCAGCAGCCGCGGUAAUACGGAGGAUCCGAGCGUUAUCCGGAUUUAUUGGGUUUAAAGGGAGCGUAGGUGGAUUGUUAAGUCAGUUGUGAAAGUUUGCGGCUCAACCGUAAAAUUGCAGUUGAAACUGGAAGUCUUGAGUACAGUAGAGGUGGGCGGAAUUCGUGGUGUAGCGGUGAAAUGCUUAGAUAUCACGAAGAACUCCGAUUGCGAAGGCAGCUCACUGGACUGCAACUGACACUGAUGCUCGAAAGUGUGGGUAUCAAACAGGAUUAGAUACCCGUGUAGUC